CACGUAGGGGACAAGCGUUGUCCGGAAUGACUGGGCGUAAAGGGCGCGUAGGCGGUUUAUUAAGUCUGAUGUGAAAGGUACCGGCUCAACCGGUGACGUGCAUUGGAAACUGGUAAACUUGAGUAUUGGAGAGGCAAGUGGAAUUCCUAGUGUAGCGGUGAAAUGCGUAGAUAUUAGGAGGAACACCAGUGGCGAAGGCGGCUUGCUGGACAAAUACUGACGCUGAGGUGCGAAAGCGUGGGGAGCGAACAGG
rnacentral:rRNA from 1 species